rnacentral:rRNA from 1 species
CGAGGGACGGCGCCGCCCCGGGGCUCGUGAUAUCUUAUCUCGCCGCCCGUCGCGAGGCGGACGGAGGGAUGGAUGAGGUUACCUGGAAAAAAAUCGGGGCGAUCUAGGCGGGCGAACCUCGCCAACGAACGAUCGGACAUGGGAUAACGGAAGAGGGCGUCGGCUCGACUUCGUCGGUUCCUCGGGCCGAGGCACGUACGGUGAAUAGGGACGGUCGGGGCCGCCCGUACCGGGUCGUGAGAGGUGAAAUUCUAGGAUCGACCCGAGACGAACUGCCGCGAAAGCAUUCGGCAAGGACGCUUUCAUUAAUCAAGAACGAAAGUCGGGGGAUCGAAGACGAUCAGAUACCGUCGUAGUCCCGACCGUAAACGAUGCCGACCGAGGGCCCGGAGGAGUUACGUACGACCCUCCGGGCCCUCCCGCGAGAAAUCAGGAGUAUUC